GAAGAAUGUCACUCUGUACCUAAGAGGUACUGAUUCGCCGGACACGGUCAUCUUCACUUUGGACAAUGAUAUGGACAACUCCUACAUCGCCAAAUUUCUGUACACGGACUACAAAACAUGCGUGAUUGUGGAGAUACCCUAUGACGGAGACCAGUGUCAACUAUGGCUUGGUGUACAGUACAAGAACAGUGUUCCUCAGCAUUGUAUGGAUCAGCUGGAUGAGCUAUGCGGCGCUACUCUGCAAGUGUAUAAUCAAGAAUUAUGCGAAGAUGAUACGGAUGACCUAUGAC